rnacentral:rRNA from 1 species
UUUCCCUCGCGUCGUAACCGUCAGCGCAAAGUACAGCGAUGGAACGCGAAUCGAAGCCCCACCGCGACGACCUCGGCCGACCCGGCACGGUACCUCAAGCAAAGUUU